rnacentral:rRNA from 1 species
GUCGAGCGAACGGACGAGAAGCUUGCUUCUCUGAUGUUAGCGGCGGACGGGUGAGUAACACGUGGAUAACCUACCUAUAAGACUGGGAUAACUUCGGGAAACCGGAGCUAAUACCGGAUAAUAUUUUGAACCGCAUGGUUCAAAAGUGAGAGACGGUCUUGCUGUCACUUAUAGAUGGAUCCGCGCUGCAUUAGCUAGUUGGUAAGGUAACGGCUUACCAAGGCAACGAUGCAUAGCCGACCUGAGAGGGUGAUCGGCCACACUGGAACUGAGACACGGUCCAGACUCCUACGGGAGGCAGCAGUAGGGAAUCUUCCGCAAUGGGCGAAAGCCUGACGGAGCAACGCCGCGUGAGUGAUGAAGGUCUUCGGAUCGUAAAACUCUGUUAUUAGGGAAGAACAUAUGUGUAAGUAACUGUGCACAUCUUGACGGUACCUAAUCAGAAAGCCACGGCUAACUACGUGCCAGCAGCCGCGGUAAUACGUAGGUGGCAAGCGUUAUCCGGAAUUAUUGGGCGUAAAGCGCGCGUAGGCGGUUCUUUAAGUCUGAUGUGAAAGCCCACGGCUCAACCGUGGAGGGUCAUUGGAAACUGGAAAACUUGAGUGCAGAAGAGGAAAGUGGAAUUCCAUGUGUAGCGGUGAAAUGCGCAGAGAUAUGGAGGAACACCAGUGGCGAAGGCGACUUUCUGGUCUGUAACUGACGCUGAUGUGCGAAA